GACGAACGCUGGCGGCGUGCCUAAUACAUGCAAGUUGAGCGCUGAAGGUUGGUACUUGUACCAACUGGAUGAGCAGCGAACGGGUGAGUAACGCGUGGGUAAUCUGCCUUUGAGCGGGGGACAACAUUUGGAAACGAAUGCUAAUACCGCAUAAAAACUUUAAACACAAGUUUUAAGUUUGAAAGAUGCAAUUGCAUCACUCAAAGAUGAUCCCGCGUUGUAUUAGCUAGUUGGUGAGGUAAAGGCUCACCAAGGCGAUGAUACAUAGCCGACCUGAGAGGGUGAUCGGCCACAUUGGGACUGAGACACGGCCCAAACCCCUACGGGAGGCAGCAGGAGGGAAUCUUCGGCAAUGGACGAAAGUCUGACCGAGCAACGCCGCGUGAGUGAAGAAGGUUUUCGGAUCGGAAAACUCUGUUGGUAGAGAAGAACGUUGGUGAGAGUGGAAAGCGCAUCAAGUGACGGUAACUACCCAGAAAGGGACGGCUAACUACGUG
rnacentral:rRNA from 1 species